rnacentral:rRNA from 1 species
GAUGAACACUGGCGGCGUGCUUAACACAUGCAAGUCGAGCGAGUGAGUUCUUCGGAACGAUCUAGCGGCGGACGGGUGAGUAACACGUGGGCAACCUGCCUCAUAGAGGGGAAUAGCCUCCCGAAAGGGAGAUUAAUACCGCAUAAAAUUAUCGAGUGGCAUCACAUGAUAAUCAAAGGAGUAAUCCGCUAUGAGAUGGGCCCGCGGCGCAUUAGCUAGUUGGUGAGGUAACGGCUCACCAAGGCGACGAUGCGUAGCCGACCUGAGAGGGUGAUCGGCCACAUUGGGACUGAGACACGGCCCAGACUCCUACGGGAGGCAGCAGUGGGGAAUAUUGCACAAUGGGGGAAACCCUGACGCAGCAACGCCGCGUGAGUGAUGAAGGUCUUCGGAUUGUAAAGCUCUGUCUUUGGGGACGAUAAUGACGGUACCCAAGGAGGAAGCCACGGCUAACUACGUGCCAGCCGCCGCGGUAA